rnacentral:rRNA from 1 species
UGGGGAAUAUUGCACAAUGGGCGCAAGCCUGAUGCAGCCAUGCCGCGUGUAUGAAGAAGGCCUUCGGGUUGUAAAGCACUUUCAGCGGGGAGGAAGGCGAUAAGGUUAAUAACCUUGUCGAUUGACGUUACCCGCAGAAGAAGCACCGGCUAACUCCGUGCCAGCAGCCGCGGUAAUACGGAGGGUGCAAGCGUUAAUCGGAAUUACUGGGCGUAAAGCGCACGCAGGCGGUUUGUUAAGUCAGAUGUGAAAUCCCCGGGCUCAACCUGGGAACUGCAUUCGAAACUGGCAGGCUAGAGUCUUGUAGAGGGGGGUAGAAUUCCAGGUGUAGCGGUGAAAUGCGUAGAGAUCUGGAGGAAUACCGGUGGCGAAGGCGGCCCCCUGGACAAAGACUGACGCUCAGGUGCGAAAGCGUGGGGAGCAAACAGG